ensembl:lncRNA
AAGACCAGUUCUCUGGAAAGCUGGGAGGAAAUAAGCGUGUGUCUGUCUGUUGCUUUUGCCAUCUUUUAGCCUGUUUCAUGGCAAUUCUUUUUUAAAUCUUCCAAUAGAAGCCCCCUGUUCUGGAUUCAGAGGCCUCGUUGUUGGCCGUCCCUGAUGCGUUCCACGCCCUCAACCUGUCAGAUACUCCAGAGAAGCUGAUUGAAGGCCUAAAGUCACCGGACACGUCUUCACUCAUGCUUCCUGACCUGCUCUCGCUCUCUGAUCCUUUUGGAGGGUCUGUGGAAGAGUCUGCAAAAGACCCUCUCUCUGCUGAAGACUCUCUUCUUGGCUGCUCCCUGAUCUCGGGUCUUCCCGCCUCAGCUGCAGCAGGGAGCGCCCCUUCCGCUCUGUCCUCCGGUCCCACCUCUGCAGCUUCUGCUCUGGACGAUUUCAGCUUGCUGUCUGGAGAGUCAGCGUCAAAAGCAGACUCAUCUCUUCUGAUCUUGGACUUUGAGUCUCAGCAGACCAGCGCAGAAGCCGACGGAGGACGAGUUUGAUCCUAUUCCCGUCACGGGCCGAAAGAAUUCUCAAGUUUCAGGAGGCCACUCGCGCAGUAACAGUGGUGGCUCUGAAUCCAGUCUCCCCAGCUUGGCCCGCUCCCUGCUGCUGGUGGACCAGCUCAUCGACUUGUAGGCCCCCCCUCACCUCCCCGAUCCCCUUAUAGAGGCUGUAACACUGGAUAAUAGUCUGGCAUAGCAUAGCAACAAUCAACCCUGUCGCCAUUGCUAGUCGACCCCCCCUCCAUGCUGUCAUCUCCAUUAAAGUUUCAACCGUAGAACGCCCUUCACCUUUCAGCGCUUCUCCAUUCCUGCUCUCCACAUCAUCAGCGGCGUUUAUCCGCCUUCUCCCCUCCGCUUCUCAUUUUCCAUGUUCAUGCUCUCUCUCUCUUUCUGUCGUGGCCAUUCAUCACGUGUUGCUCAUUAGCAAGGAUUUGACAGAUUACUACCAUCAUCCAUUUAAGAAUUGAAUCUUUCUGUCAGUCAGGAAAUGAUCUGUAGUUCAUUCCAACCAAACAUCAUGUCUUAUAGUAAGCAUUAGAAAAUCAUUAUUGUAAUGUAAAAUAGGCAUAGCUGUAAGUGGUUGUAGUUCUUGUGCACAAGUGAACUUGUCAUCGUCCGGCUUUUUACCCUUCUCCCCAGAUUAAUUUUGCACAUUUUUAUAAAGGAGAAGAAAAAAUGGGAUUAAGAGCAGAACUGACUUCACUGAUGUGCACAGAUGCAUUUUGCUACCUAUCCUCCUUCACUUCAAGCUGCUAUUGAUUUGAUUAAAAAAAAAAAAAAAAUCAAGUUUAGUCCCAACAUGAAGCAGAACAGAUAUGAAAGAGCGACGCUUGGUGCCAUAAUGUGAUCGGAACAGGCGUAUUUUAAAAAAACUCCAGAGAUGCAGCGCAAGACACGGAACCUAAGCUUUAAAAACCACGACUCGUCCUCAAAUGCAGCUCUUCUGAGCUUUUAUUCAUUUAGUUUCAUCACUUAAAACAAGAAGAGCAGCUUGUUUCGUUGCCUAAAUGCAUGAAGCUGUGAUACAAUCUGAGGAUUAAGCUGCAAUAGGAAACUCUAGCAAAUGAAUAGCAGUAAGAUCUAGGCUAAUAAUUUCUAUAUGCAUCAUCUUGCCAAUCAUUUUUGCACACAUUAACAGUCAUUCCACGAUGUGCACGCCCCCCUUACAAAGCAUUCCUCUCAUUUCUUUACCCCUAAUUGAUGUAAAUAGACAUUUGACUCCUGCAGACUCUUAUCCAGACCGUAAAAAUUCUAUUGUCAUAAAGCUUUACUUGUGGAAGACAUAUUGCUUUAUUUGUGAAUCGUGUCAUAUAUAUGUAUAUAAAGAUAUUUAUGGCAUUGUUUUCCUUGUUAAUACAUGUUAAUAUAGAUAGUGUGAGAAAAUGAAUGUAAGAAAUAAAUAUUAGUCUAUAAUGAAAUCUAUCUAUGAUUCUAAACAUCAUAAUCAUUCUAGGAUAUUGGAGAAUAUAUGAAUAUUUCAUUCCUCCUUGUGGAUGUUUUUUUUUUUUUUUUUCUGAGUUCUAUUGAAAUGUUGGAAAAUGGAAAAAAAAAAGUAUAAAUGAUGUCCUAGUCUUUAACUGUUGUGGAGGAUUAGGCCGAAUCCCUUAUUCUACAUCUGUGAAAAAAAAGGAAAUGAGCCUGUGUUACUUUUGUUUACAUGGAUUUAUGAAGGAUUAUAUUUAUAUUCAGAAAAGUCUUCUUUAAGAGAGGAGUUAGGAUUAGGAAUUUAGUCCAGCUUCCUUUGAGUUUGUGCUUUUGAAGCUUUCUUUCUUUCUUUCUUUUUAUGUUCAUUUUCUGUGCUCACAGGAUUCAUAUCAAAAAGCAUGGCAGUGUUGUUGAAUGUUGCGUUUACGUGUGCCGGUAAAACGAUGUUCGGAGUGUGCGUGCCCGUGAGCGUGCUUCGAGUUUGAAUUGUGGGGUUGUGUUUUCCAGUAGCAUUCUCGUGUUUGUUGUUUUGCCGCAAAAUGCGACAACGUGAACUAGAGUUGUCGGUAAAAAUCUCCUCUAAAAAGCACAGACCUCUCCUCCCUCCUUCCCUAAUUCUCUCAGGUAGUCUCUGAGAGGUGGACACUGACGUUCUGCUCCCCGUCUCUCCGUCCUUUAGACUUCAUGCGUUUAUGUCACCGACUUUCAUGCGUGAGGGGCUCUGGGACUUGAUGAUCACACGGCAUUAGCUGCUGAGGGUCAGGAACGGGAUCGACUCCAGUCAACGUUACACAGUUAGAUGUUUCUGUAGGGUCAAACAGAAGUUAGCCUGCAUGAUUAGAUCAUACUUUUGGUUAGUUUAUUUUGUUUCAAGAAAAAACAAAAAGUGUUCUUUUUGAUCAACAAAACUCAUCAAGAUUUAUCAUUUUGAUGCUGAAAACAUAAGUGAAAAGUAUUGCAUCUAAGUGUAGCAGUUAAUUAAAUAUAUGUUUAAAAUAUAUAUAUUUUAAAGUACAUGAUCAAGGAAGUGUGCCAAACGCAUGGAUUGCACCUAUUUUUCACCUUUUGCUCUUUUGGAAUCACUUCCUUAAUUUGUGAUUUGCUCAGUCUUAAUUUCAAACUUAAUUGCCUUUUUUUGGCAUUUAGCAAAAGAAGCCAUUUUUUAACAGCUGCAUGGUUACUCGCAAAAUACCGAGCUUCAUUUGCUUCUGAUCCUUCCUCUGAACCCCCCACAAUCACUCACAGUCACUGUUUGAACCUAUGCAACGCCAGAGCUUUCUCCCUGGAACCGCCUGUACGCAGUUGUAGUCAGUAAAGCCAAGCCAGAGCUGAUGUGGAAAAAAACAAAAAAAAAAGUAGCCCCUCAUUUAGCUUUUCUUUUCUUUCCUGCCAAAAGAGAAAACUGUCGGUUAUCUGAUCUUAAUGAGUGUUUUCAGACGCCUUCUGUCAUUAUGGCCCAACCCUGCGUCAGAAAUGUGAUAUUGUGUGCUCCUUCUAUUUUUGUGAGAUGACUUAAGAGUAAUAAAGGGAUGGCAAAUAAAGUACAAAUGUGAAUGUUCAUGUGUUUUUGGUGUUGAUUCUCAGUGAGGUCUGACCAGGAUAUGUUUUGAAAAAAAAGAUAUGUUCUUUAGAAAGCUCCAUCUGUGAUUUUUAUGAAUAAAAAAAAUUACAAUUACUCAAAGUAUGAAAUAUAUUAGGGGUGUAGGAAAAAGUCGAUUUUGUGAUUUAUCGUAAUACUUUAUUUGGCAAUACUUGUAUCAAUUUCAAUUAUAUUAACUAUUUAUCAGCGUCCUUCGUGUCUUACUUUUGCUUUCCAACUAAACCCCAGACUAGUACUGGAUAAACUAGAUUUUGAAAUGUUGAAAAUAAACUGCACUAGCUCAGAGACAUUCAUUCUAUUUACAUUUCUUAAUUUGAAAAAAGAAAAGCACCAUGAAUUUUCCUGGGUAAAAGCAAUUUCUAUUUGAGAUACAGUUGCAGUUUUUUUCUAAGUCAUAAUCUUUAGAAAAAUAGUGAAACAAUUUUCUCGUACUGUGUUGGGAUAUAUCGCGAUAUAAAUCAUAUAUUAAGCCAUGUAUCCUGAUGUGUAUCGUAUCGCCAGACUCUUGCCAAUACACACCCUUAAAAUACAUAUUAUGUAAAACAUUAAAAAAAAAAAUCUUUUAUUUUGAUGUUUGAAGAGUGUUUCUUUUAAGUUUGACAUGCCACCUUCUGUUUGCUGAAGCUUAUCUAAGAUGACAAAAGAUGAAGUGGAAAACUUAAAUGUGGUCUAAAAAAAUGAAUCUAAUGAGAAGAGGUUCUGGUCCAAACCCUGGAUCUGUUGAGCUGUGAUGUGAUUAGUGCACACAUGGUAAUCUGAACUGCUGUCCGUGAUUCUCAAGGCUGCAGCAGAUGCUGUUGUCAUCUUGACUCAUUUCACAGAGCUAAUGUUGAGCAUUGCUACAGGAGAGUCUGGAUGUGGAACUCUCCUGUUUGCAGUCCACAUAUGGCUGAUGCAAAACUAUGAUUUUGAAGGAAAAAAGCAUCAAACAGAAAAAGUUUUUUUUUUUAAAACAAAAGCUCAAAGAGAAACACACUUCACAUAAUUAUAAACAUAACACUUGUUUUUACUAUCUUGAGCUGAACUCACAAUUCUGAAACUCGCAUCAUCUGCACAAAAGGCUUCCUUUUGUUCUCACUAUGUCUAAAUGUCUGUUAGUAAGAAUUUUUGGAUGAGAUAUUAAAAAAUUCAGAUUAAAUUCCAUGAUUAUUGUUCCGGUUUGUUUUAAGGGUAACCAAACAGGGAAGUUGGAGGCUGACUCCACCCACAGCCGAAAUUUGAAAAUCCAUGCAGAAGUGUGGGGCUGGGAACCAGGACUGCAUAUCAUGACGUGGUACUUAAAUGGUUUGAUACCUAGAUUCAGAUUUAGGGGGCAGCAUACGGACAGUUUUUGACUAUAUUUCCAAGAAUUAAACACGUUUAUUUUAAUUUGUCAAAAAUUUGCCAAUGACCAACAGACAGUAAUUUUAUUCACAAGAUUUGCAACACUUCAACAUUUCAUACCAAGCCGAGCGCUAUUAAACAGUAGAAAAGAACUAAAAGAAGAAGCCCCUCCCUGCUUUUCCAGUGUGAACAUCAUGGGAUAAAACUGUUAAAUGCCUUCAAGAAUGCGCUGACCGUGUGUUCUUGAGCUCGUGUCACAUGUCCGGUGUGUCCAUGUCUUUAUUUUCAAGGUUUUGUACACCAUUCCUCUGUGUUCCUCUCCAUUCCACUUGUCUUUUUGAGCCACGGUCUUCAGUCCUCUUUGGUUAUUAUUUUUUUAAUUAAAUUUUGUUCAUUUCCAACCAUCUUUUCCCUUUUUAUGGUUUUCACAC